ensembl:miRNA
CUGGAGAGUUGAGCCCAAGCAGGCAGCUCUGAGGUAGCUGGGUGUGGGCUCUGCUCUCUACC